UCUUCGAGUCGUUGAUUUCACACUGCCGAGAAAAGCCUCUAGAUAGAAAAUAGGUGCCCGUACCGCAAACCGACACAGGUAGUCAAGAUGAGAAUUCUAAGGUGAGCGAGCGAACUCUCGUUAAGGAACUCGGCAAAAUGACCCCGUAACUUCGGGAGAAGGGGUGCUCUUUAGGGUUAACGCCCAGAAGAGCCGCAGUGAAUAGGCCCAAGCGACUGUUUAUCAAAAACACAGGUCUCUGCUAAACCGUAAGGUGAUGUAUAGGGGCUGACGCCUGCCCGGUGCUGGAAGGUUAAGAGGAGUGGUUAGCUUCUGCGAAGCUACGAAUCGAAGCCCCAGUAAACGGCGGCCGUAACUAUAACGGUCCUAAGGUAGCGAAAUUCCUUGUCGGGUAAGUUCCGACCCGCACGAAAGGCGUAACGAUUUGGGCACUGUCUCAACGAGAGACUCGGUGAAAUCAUAGUACCUGUGAAGAUGCAGGUUACCCGCGACAGGACGGAAAGACCCCGUGGAGCUUUACUGUAGCCUGAUAUUGAAAUUCGGCACAGCUUGUACAGGAUAGGUAGGAGCCUUUGAAACGUGA
rnacentral:rRNA from 1 species